rnacentral:rRNA from 1 species
AACAAACGCUGGCGGCGUGCCUAAUACAUGCAAGUCGAACGGGGAAAGUUUUCGGGUGAGUACUAGUGGCGCACGGGUGAGGAACGCGUGGAUAAUCUGCCUUAGAGUGGGGGAUAACUAGUCGAAAGAUUAGCUAAUACCGCAUAAGACCACGAGAGCUGCGGCUUUUGAGGUCAAAGGUUUUUCGCUCUAAGAUGAGUCCGCGUAAGAUUAGCUAGUUGGUGAGGUAACGGCUCACCAAGGCGACGAUCUUUAACUGGUCUGAGAGGAUGAUCAGUCACACUGGAACUGAGACACGGUCCAGACUCCUACGGGAGGCAGCAGUAGGGAAUAUUGCACAAUGGAGGAAACUCUGAUGCAGCGACGCCGCGUGAGUGAUGAAGGCCUUCGGGUCGUAAAGCUCUGUCGCAGGGGAAUAACACAAUGAAGGUACCCUGUAAGAAAGGAUCGGCUAACUUCGUG